rnacentral:rRNA from 1 species
UUUUAUUUGAGAGUUUGAUCCUGGCUCAGGAUGAACGCUGGCGGCGUGCCUAACACAUGCAAGUUGAGCGAUUUACUUCGGUAAAGAGCGGCGGACGGGUGAGUAACGCGUGGGUAACCUACCCUGUACACACGGAUAACAUACCGAAAGG